CGCGUUUUCGAACGGGCGAACCUACUACACGCUUGUACCACAUUCAACAUGGCCGACCGCCGGGUACGAUACGUUCUACGAUGACGCACAGCGACCAAGCGGACUGUCGCAAAAGGCUUUCUAUUCUUCUCUCCCCAGUCGUGCAGGUGUAUCAUACGGCGCUGCUUGGAGAUCAAGCGGAGCGAGGAUUAAACUAGGGAGAUUCCGGACGAUAAGGCGGAGCGCUCUCUUGUCCUCGCUGCGGGAAUCAGAUGUCCGGGAUUAUGUCUGAUGAAGACAGAUGACGGCUGUAUCAUACAACCUGUCUUUUCCUACUACAAGGUGGUGGUGGACAUGCAACAUGGCAGAGGACACGAAGUGCAGUAGGAAGACCAACUCCUUCCUGGGUCAUCAAACUGUCAAUAUUCUUGGUCCAAUUUAUUGUGGCUGGGGAUGAUGCGAGUCAUAGUUCAACAGCAGCUGGAGAAGACUGCCUAUGCCUGCCAUAGACUGUUAUACUAAGUGUACAGAACAUCCACAAUCUUCAAACACAGAAUUCACUUGUAAUAAAACAUUUCUGAAUAAAUGAGUACAUAUCAACCCUUAUGUCAAUUCUACAUGUUAAAAGUUUGAAAAUGAAUUACUUAUAUCAUCUCGUUAUACUUAGAAAAGUAUUAUAUGCACAAUGCAAAAUGCAAACAACUGAAAUAAUUAAAAGCAGAUGUUUUAAUAAAA